ensembl:snRNA U2 U2 spliceosomal RNA
AUCGCUUCUCCACCUCUUGGCUAAGAUCAAGUGUAGUAUCUUCUUAUCAGUUUAAUAUGUGAUAUGCCCUCUAUCCGAGGACAAUAUAUUAAGUGGGUUUUUGGAGCAGGGAGUGGGAAUAGGUGGCUCCGAUGGUAAAGCGUCUACCUCCAAUGCAGGAGACCCGGGUUCAAUCCCUGGGUUGGGAAGAUCUCCC